UUACCUACGGGGGGCAGCAGUGGGGGAUAUUGCACAAUGGGGGGAACCCUGAUGCAGCGACGCCGCGUGGGUGAAGAAGCGCCUCGGCGCGUAAAGCCCUGUCAGCAGGGAAGAAAAUGACGGUACCUGAAGAAGAAGCCCCGGCUAACUACGCGCCAGCAGCCGCGGUAAUACGUAGGGGGCGAGCGUUAUCCGGAUUCAUUGGGCGUAAAGCGCGCGUAGGCGGCCUGUUAGGUCGGGGGUCAAAUACCGGGGCUCAACCCCGGUCCGCCCCCGAUACCGGCAGGCCUGAGGCUGGUAGGGGG
rnacentral:rRNA from 1 species